UCGAGAAACUUCACUAGAUUAGAUAAGCUAGUGCCUGAAUCUUCAUCAGUAUAAAAAUUAUGAAUUUAAUUAACUCUUCAGCUCAACAUAAACAGUGCCUUUCAAAUGUUUAAUAAUUAACUGCGUUAGCGUUGGAUUUCGAGUAACAACACAAUAUAUGAAAACACAUUAUUUUACUAGUUUCUUUCAGCAACUUUACUACAUUUAAAGCAAUUAAGGUCAGACAUCUUUUGACUCAAAGAGCUAUAUGAAACCAUUUUCUUUACCUCUACUCUCCAUAAAUCUGAUAGAUUAGGUUUAAUAUCAUAUGAAAAAGGAAAAUGAAUUUUUGUUAAUUGAACAUUAUUUUUUAAGGGGAAAAGCAAUAACCGAAACUAAGAAAAAGUUACAUAAAUACUAUCCUGAUAAUAGAAUGAUUUGUUAAGUGGUUAUGCAGAGGAUCCUAAAUUAAGACAGUGAGCCAGAUAGAGAGCAUAGCCCUAAAGGACGAAGGAUCUUAUUGGAAAUAACUAAAAAAAUUAACUAAGUAUUAUUUUCCGUUGAAUAUUUCAGGAUUGACUUAAAGGUAGGUAACAGAUUCAAGUAUAGAUGUGGAGAAUGAAGAGAUGUUAUUUUCUUGUUUUGAUUCUGUUACUCGUUUAUGAAUUUUCAAGACUUUUGUUUAUAUAGAAUAUUUUUUUUUGUUAAAUCCCAUAAUGAUACUACUGUAUCAUUGUAAUAAUAUUAUUUUACUGUUUUAUUUCUCGUUAGUAUUCAUUACUAAUUUUCCUUGGUUUAGUUAAAAAUGUAUGUAAAUAUUUUGUAAAUAAACGUGUCCAGUUCU